rfam:Triticum aestivum genome assembly, contig: Triticum_aestivum_CS42_TGACv1_scaffold_543371_6DS
UUACUACUCCCUCCGUCUUAAAAUUCUUGUCUUAGAUUUUUCUAAAUACGGAUGUAUCAAGGCACGUUUUAGUAUUAGAUACAUCCGUAUCUAGACAAAUCUAAAACAAGAAUUUUGGGACGGAGGGAGUAUUAU